GCGUAGGUGAUGGACAACAGGUUGAUAUUCCUGUACUACCGAUAACCGUUUGAGAGAAGGGAUGACACAGUAGGAUAAGCUAAGCACACUGUUGGUUAUGUGUGCCCAAGCAUUGAGGCAGUCAAAGUAGGCAAAUCCGCUUUGAUAAUGCUGGGAUGGGAUGGGGAGCGAAAUUUAGUAGCGAAGUAGCUGAUUUCACACUGUCAAGAAAAGUCUCUAUCGAGGUUAAAGGUACCCGUACCGCAAACCGACACAGGUGGGUGAGGAGAGUAUCCUAAGGCCAGCGAGAGAACUGUUGUUAAGGAACUCGGCAAAAUGACCCCGUAACUUAGGGAUAAGGGGUGCCACCAUCAGGUGGCCGCAGAGAAUAGGCCCAAGCGACUGUUUACCAAAAACAUAGGUUUCUGCUAAGUCGCAAGACGAUGUAUAGGAGCUGACGCCUGCCCGGUGCUGGAAGGUUAAGGGGAUCUGUUAGAGCAAUCGAAGCAGUGAACUUAAGCC
rnacentral:rRNA from 1 species